rnacentral:rRNA from 1 species
GCCUACGGGACGCAGCAGUGGGGGAUAUUGCACAAUGGGGGAAACCCUGAUGCAGCGACGCCGCGUGAGUGAAGAAGUAUUUCGGUACGUAAAGCUCUAUCAGCAGGGAAGAAUAAUGACGGUACCUGACUAAGAAGCCCCGGCUAACUACGUGCCAGCAGCCGCGGUAAUACGUAGGGGGCAAGCGUUAUCCGGAUUUACUGGGUGUAAAGGGGGCGCAGACGGCGAUGCAAGCCAGGAGUGAAAGCCCGGGGCCCAACCCCGGGACUGCUCUUGGAACUGCGUGGCUGGAGUGCAGGAGGGGG